rnacentral:rRNA from 1 species
AGCCGUGUACGGAUGUGAUAAACGCUGAAGGCAUCUAAGCGUGAAGCACACCUCAAGAUUAGAUAUCCCACAGCAAAAGCUGGUAAGGUCACUUGUCGACUACAAGUUUGAUAGGUCGGGUGUGUAAGCACGGUAACGUGUAGAGCUGACCGAUACUAAUAGACCGAGGGCUUGAACUA